UGGGCUUGACAUGUGGAUGACCGGCCUGGAAACAGGUCUUCCCUUCGGGGCAUCUUCACAGGUGGUGCAUGGCUGUCGUCAGCUCGUGUCGUGAGAUGUUGGGUUAAGUCCCGCAACGAGCGCAACCCCCGUCGUAUGUUGCCAGCAUUAGUUGGGGACUCAUGCGAGACUGCCGGUGACAAACCGGAGGAAGGUGGGGAUGACGUGUCCUUGAUAGG
rnacentral:misc_RNA from 1 species